UACGGGGGGAGCAAGCGUUGUUCGGAUUUACUGGGCGUAAAGGGCGCGUAGGCGGUCAGCACAAGUCAGUUGUGAAAUCUCCGGGCUUAACUCGGAAAGGUCAACUGAUACUGUGCGACUAGAGUGCGGAAGGGGCAACUGGAAUUCUCGGUGUAACGGUGAAAUGCGUAGAUAUCGAGAGGAACACCUGCGGCGAAGGCGGGUUGCUGGGCCGACACUGACGCUGAUGCGCGAAAGCCAGGGGAGCGAACGGG
rnacentral:rRNA from 1 species